rnacentral:lncRNA from 1 species
UUUAAUGCAUCUAUUGCUCUACUAAUAUAAAUGGUUGCAUUUGCUCUACUUAUCUAACUAAUGGUUGCAUUAGUCCUUUAUUUUCUGAAAUCUGAGUACUUGCAUAAUUUUGCUUUACUAUAGAUUGCUUAUAAAAGUGCAUGCUUGAGGAAGGAUAGUGGAUUUUUAUUUGCAUGUUUUGAAUUGUAGGACCAUAGGAAUCGACUGAUUUUAACCACAGUGAUAUGUGAUUUUGUCUGUCACAUGACUAACAUGUUACAUUGAUUUUGGUGUCUCCUAUUGUGCUUUGCUCUAUUUAUAAUCAAAGUGCCAAGACUGAAGGGCUAGAUGUUCACUGUAAUAAAAUUUUACUUAGGACGGCUUAUAUGGGAUGCUCAGUUAUGUGGUGGUGUGUUUGGGAAAUUGGAUGUUGAGGAGUGGUUGUUACUGGAUGGGGCAGUUUUCCUUGUUGGAUAGGGCUUAUGCAUGGGCUGAUGUUGCCAGAAGAAACACAUCUUUACACUGUGGACCUCUCUCUCUCUCUCUCUCUCUCUCUCUCUCUCUCUCUCUCUCUCUCUCUACUACUACUACUACUACUACUACUACUACACACGACGUACGACGUACGUACGUACGUACGUUACGUACGUUACGUUACGUUACGUUACGUACGUACGUACNNNNNNNNNNNNNNNNNNNNCGUUUUCCGUUUUCGGUUAGGUAGGGUACGGUACGUUAGUCGCUAGGUCGGUCGUGUAGUUGUUCGCGAAGAAACGAAACAACACUUACUUACUACUGGUACGUCUCUCUCUCUCUCUCUCUCUCUCUCUUAUCUUUCUUAUCUCUCUCUCACGCACAGACACACACACACACAGAGGUACAGAGCUCGUGUUGCUUUUCUUCUUGUUAGAUAAGGAACAUGCAUUGGCUUGCCCAAAGCACAUCUUUACACCGUGAGACUCUCUCUCUCUCUCUCACACACACACACUCGCACACACAGAGCCACACACAACACACGUAUGUGCAGACUUUUUUGUUGACUGAGAUCUAUGCUUAGUUUGUGAUGAGUUGUAAAUCCUUCUAGCUUAAAAGAACUUCAAGAAGAUGCUACAUGUGAACAUUCUCUAUUGUAAUUCCAAGGGAUCUCCUCGCUCUUCUAUUUUGGCCAUACUGCCUUGCUAUUAGUUAGUAAUUACAUUUUGUGUUACAAACAUGACAAAUAUUUUUGUGCAUGAGGGUCCUGGAAGCUAAUCCAUUGUUGUGGCUCUUGCAAAAGUUUGAAUCAAAUCGAAUUUGGUAUGAGUGUUGUCCCAUAUUUCUUUAUCUAGAAUCUCUUGAGCUCUUUUGGAUUUUUUAUUUAUCCUAAUCCUAGAUGAAUCCCUACACAAAAUGUUUUUGAAUUUAUCUUAUUGCCCAAUACCCUUAUUGUCUGUCUGAACUUGUAAGAUCACUGUUGUUCAUUCUUAAUUAGGGUCUUUGUCCAUUCGGGAGGCUUCCUUUUUCCCCUGCUGGCAGUGUUAAUACUGUAAAGAAUUAAGCAUCGCAUGUUCUUUAGGAGAAUUGGAUGUGGGAGCUUGAGUGACAAAUGUUGGACCCAUUAUUCCCUCCACUAAAUGUGAUUUUGGGAGCAUUGGAUUUACAACUCUCUCUUUGUGAUCUAUACGGAUUUAAGAAUCUGUUUUCCUUUGAAAAAUUUACCGGAUAAUGGAUUUGAAUAAUUAUUGCUCUCUUUUUAUUGAUUUGCAAUUAUAUAUUUUUUUAAUGGAUAUGCAUUGUUGCUUCCUUUUUUUUAAAAUAUGAAGAACAUGGCUUGGCUUGGGAUCCCCAUUCAGUAGCGCAACAUCUUGUCUCCAGAGCAGCAUCACGAACCAUGUUGGGAGAUCCAAGUAACUAAGGCCUUGAUGAUUCUCUGAUUUAGCAAAGAAUACAUAUUGAUUUUUAUUGCUCAUUGCCUUUACAAACCUCUUGGUAGCACAUGAACGGCUUUUUGAUUAUCUUGACCAGGUAAAAGUUGUUUUAGAAGACAGGCUUUAAGUGACCUCCCUUUGCACCCUAUUCCUGUACCACCCGCAAAAUACUCAUUUUGGGGUAAUUUGGAGGAAAAAGUUGAAAAAUGUCGAGCAAGCAGUGUAAAUUUUGCUGUUCAUAAAUUGUCUGAUGGCAGAUAGGAAAUUGUAUGCGAAUUCAUGUCUGAAAAUCUUGGGCCCUUGGGAUCAUAAUUUACAUAAGAAGGCAUAAAAUUGGAAUUUAUCUUGGUGGAUCUCUUAUUUUGUGCAAUGCCUUCAUUUUAUAUAUUGCUGACACUCAAAAAUUUUAUGGGUGGAUUGGACAUUUUGCUUGAAGUUAAAACAAUGACAAGAACAGACGUGAGUGUGCUUAGUAUCUGCUAAUUACUGAAGGAUUGUUAGUUGAAUGAAAAAUUAUCCCCAGAGAAGCCUUAAGCAGCUAUAUAGUUUAGUAUGUUAGCUAGCAUUGCAAAUAACAAAAUAGCACUUAUAAUAUUUGCUUAUUUGUGCACAAAUGUCAUUAUCGAUGUCAUCAGAUUGCUUUGCUUUGAUCUGUAGACCACAUAGUGAACAUGAAUUUGAUGCUUUUGGACACUUUGACCAAAACACCAAAUGUGGCGCUCAUGAACCAGGCUCAUUAUGUUUGGCCUUUUUCUGCUUCAUGAUUAUUGAAAUCCAUCUCUCAGGCUAAAUGUUUUUGUAUUUAUAUAUUUUUGUGAAAUUAAAGUUCACUAGUCCUCCUUGGAGGUGACUAAAUUGUGGAAGUGUUUAUCUACCCUGCCCAAAUUGAGGCAGGUUCUGAAGCAAAUUUUAGGAUGUUGUUUGUUAUAGCCUUUCGAGUGAUACCCAAUUAAUUAAGUCUAAGAAUACAUGUGUAAUUGGCC